ACUAGCCAGACAAAGCUCGGUGGCUGCUUAAUAACGUUAGCUUUGGGAAACAGGGUUAGUAGCAACAAGUAGCUGCAUAGCUCGUUUUUUUUCUUCGUGAACUCAAGUUCAAUUCCAAUAGGCGAACAACAAGUGGCUACCUAGUGAAUACUUACUCACAAGGAUUCCUAAAUCAUUGCUAAGAAGAGUGAAAAUGACUGCAGUUUCUACUGGUAAUUGUUUUCAGGCUGGUUGCAAGUUGGUGUAGCAACCCCAGAAGUUGCUAAUAACGUCAAAUAUAUUUGCCCUUAAACAUUUUUUUAACAUCCGGUUUGUUUGGUGGCUUGCGCGUGCAAAUGCAGCACACACAACAAUCUAUAAUAUAGUGUGUUAUUUGACGUGUCGAAUAUUGUAUAUUUUUGACAAGCGAAGACCUAAACGGCGUUCCAUAGUAUGUUGUUGUUGGGGUUUGUCGAAAUAUAACGUCGUGCUUGGAUCAGCUGCAUUUUACUUCAGGUAACAUGAUUGUGUUAUUUGUCUAGCUAAUCUGCUAGCUAGCUAUAUAUUUGUUCCACUCAGUGUCUGGAGGCCAAGCAAUGGCUGUCUAUGCCAAAAAGCUAACUUUGUUUUUCCUGUUGCACAAUCUGAUUGUGACCCGUUGCAUUAACAUCUCUUGCUAGCCAGUAAUAUAAGGUAACUAUCUAGCUACCGUUAGGUCGCAACUUUUGACUAGCAAAUUAUACUAGCUCGCUAACUUGAAUAACUAUUUCUGAGAGACACAAUAACUACAGCCAUGCAUUGUUGACAAUUAUGCUUGAUGGCAGACAUUUUUCCUAGGGUGGACUACAGUCAGCUUGUGUUGUCAGGCCUGUCUAUCCCUUUCUAGAUGGACAAUAUGCUGGAUAAAGAUGUGGAUGACUCCAUAGAAUGUAAUAACUUUAUAAUCCAUUGGUGAGAAUGGAAAAUGUCUUCUCCCUUUCCCUACAAACAAAUACACACAAGUUGAGUCAACAGCAGUGCAGAGCCCCAGGAUGGAGGGGUGCUGCACUGCAGGGUGUUGGGAAAACCAUAAGGCACAUUUCUGUUCUAAUGUACAAUAAAGUAUCUGACCCCUCCA